GACGAACGCUGGCGGCGUGCCUAAUACAUGCAAGUUGAGCGCUGAAGGUUGGUACUUGUACCAACUGGGUGAGCAGCGAACGGGUGAGUAACGCGUGGGUAAUCUGCCUUUGAGCGGGGGACAACAUUUGGAAACGAAUGCUAAUACCGCAUAAAAACUUUAAACACAAGUUUUAAGUUUGAAAGAUGCAAUUGCAUCACUCAAAGAUGAUCCCGCGUUGUAUUAGCUAGUUGGUGAGGUAAAGGCUCACCAAGGCGAUGAUACAUAGCCGACCUGAGAGGGUGAUCCGCCACAUUGGGACUGAGACACGGCCCAAACUCCUACGGGAGGCAGCCGUAGGGAAUCUUCGGCCAUGGACGAAAGUCUGACCGAGCAACGCCGCGUGAGUGAAGAAGGGUCUCGGAUCGUAAAACUCUGUUGGUAGGGAAGAACGUUGGUGAGAGUGGAAAGCUCAUCAAGUGACGGUAACUACCCAGAAAGGGACGGCUAACUACGUG
rnacentral:rRNA from 1 species